GACAGAGGGUGCGAACGUUGUUCGGAAUUACUGGGCGUAAAGCGCGUGUAGGCGGCUUGGCAAGUCGGAUGUGAAAGCCCAGGGCUCAACCCUGGAAGUGCACUCGAAACUGCCGAGCUGGAGUCCCGGAGAGGAAGGCGGAAUUCUCGGUGUAGAGGUGAAAUUCGUAGAUAUCGAGAGGAACACCGGUGGCGAAGGCGGCCUUCUGGACAGCCACUGACGCUGAGACGCGAAAGCCAGGGGAGCGAACGGG
rnacentral:rRNA from 1 species